rnacentral:rRNA from 1 species
GAGUUUGAUCUUGGCUCAGGAUGAACGCUGGCGGCGUGCCUAAUACAUGCAAGUCGAGCGAACAGACGGGGAGCUUGCUCCCCUGACGUUAGCGGCGGACGGGUGAGUAACACGUGGGUAACCUACCUAUAAGACUGGGAAUAACUCCGGGAAACCGGGGCUAAUGCCGGAUAACAUGUUGGACCGCAUGGUCCCUACAGUGAAAGACGGUCUUGCUGUCACUUAUAGGUGGACCCGCGCCGUAUUAGCUAGUUGGUAAGGUAACGGCUUACCAAGGCAACGAUACGUAGCCGACCUGAGAGGGUGAUCGGCCACACUGGAACUGAGACACGGUCCAGACUCCUACGGGAGGCAGCAGUAGGGAAUCUUCCGCAAUGGGCGAAAGCCUGACGGAGCAACGCCGCGUGAGUGAUGAAAGGCCUUCGGGUCGUAAAACUCUGUUAUUAGGGAAGAACAAAU